GACCUGAUCCAGCCAUGCCGCGUGUGUGAAGAAGGCCCUAGGGUUGUAAAGGCACUUUCAGUGGGGAAGAAGGCAUGACGAUUAAUACCCGUCAUGAAGGACAUCACCCACAGAAGAAGCACCGGCUAACUCCGUGCCAGCAGCCGCGGUAAUACGGAGGGUGCAAGCGUUAAUCGGAAUUACUGGGCGUAAAGGGCGCGUAGGCGGCUUGCCAAGCCGGAUGUGAAAGCCCCGGGCUCAACCCGGGAACGGCAUUCGGAACUGGCAGGCUAGAGUGCAGGAGAGGAAGGUGGAAUUCCCGGUGUAGCGGUGAAAUGCGUAGAGAUCGGGAGGAAUACCAGUGGCGAAGGCGGCCUUCUGGACUGACACUGACGCUGAGGCGCGAAAGCGUGGGUAGCAAACAGGAUUAGAUACCCUGGUAGUCCACGCCGUAAACGAUGUCGACCAGCCGUUGGACCCCUUGAGGGUUUGGUGGCGCAGUUAACGCAAUAAGUCGACCGCCUGGGGAGUACGGCCGCAAGGCUAAAACUCAAAUG
rnacentral:rRNA from 1 species